UUGAUUUAUUUGUUUGUUUUACUCAGAAGUUACAAUAAGAAACAUUAGAGUUGGGGUCCUCUGGCGGGCCGCCGGAGCGGGCACCGCCGAGGCAACGAUAGGUAUGUUCACAGGGGUUUGGGAGUUGUAAACUCGGUAAUGAUCCCUCCGCUGGUUCACCAACGGAGA
rnacentral:misc_RNA from 1 species